rnacentral:rRNA from 1 species
UACGGAGGGGGCUAGCGUUGUUCGGAAUUACUGGGCGUAAAGCGCACGUAGGCGGCUUUGUAAGUUAGAGGUGAAAGCCCGGGGCUCAACUCCGGAAUUGCCUUUAAGACUGCAUCGCUAGAAUUGUGGAGAGGUAAGUGGAAUUCCGAGUGUAGAGGUGAAAUUCGUAGAUAUUCGGAAGAACACCAGUGGCGAAGGCGGCUCACUGGUCCGGGUAC